GAUGAAGAACGUAGCGAAAUGCGAUAAGUAAUGUGAAUUGCAGAAUUCAGUGAAUCAUCGAAUCUUUGAACGCACAUUGCGCCCGCCAGUAUUCUGGCGGGCAUGCCUGUUCGAGCGUCAUUACAACCCUCAGGCCCCCGGGCCUGGCGUUGGGGAUCGGCGGAGCCCCCCGUGGGCACACGCCGUCCCCCAAAUGCAGUGGCGGUCCCGCCGCAGCUUCCAUCGCGUAGUAGCUAACACCUCGCGACUGGAGAGCGGCGCGGCCACGCCGUAAAACACCCAACUCUUCUGAAGUUGACCUCGAAUCAGGUGGGAAUACCCGCUGAACUUAAGCAUAUCAAUAAGCGGAGGA
rnacentral:misc_RNA from 1 species